GAAAAAAAAAUCAGCCAUCCAAAAAUAGCAAUGGGAGCACAUUUAAAAAAAUAAAAAUUCCAAAGCAUCUCAUAAAAGAAAAAUAGGAAAUGUAAGGCCCAAAAUAUCAAGAAGUCAGUGUUACUGCAUCACGUAUUUAACAGCGAGAAGGUGUGCCGGCAUUUAUUUUCUGUGUUGUGAUUUCCCUUGCCUUACAGGCUGAUGUGUUCUGUAGAUUUUGUUGAGGUUCGUAGAGGGAGGUUUCAGGUUAAAGUUUUCUCUUUAGCAUGGCUGUUCCCCUAAAGCUCCCACCCUGGGGAGGAAAUAAAAAAACUCUACUUUUAUAUGUGCUAUGCAAAUAGACAUUUCUAACAUAGUGAUGUUACUAUGGUAACACUUUGCUUUCUGAUUUGGAAAGAAAAUGUAGCAACAGCAUUUUAGGGUUCUCAGACGUGCGGUGAGCCCCUGGAAAUAAAAAAAGAAAAGAAAAAAAUCUGUUAUAGAAAUGAUCACUCUGUUUUCUGAACCUGAGGAUUAUGUUGAGAUGUUGGUCCAAAAGAGAGAAACAAAAACAAAAAAAAUCUCAACCCAUGGUUCUGUGGAAGGUUACCAUGGUGACUAACUACAGUACAUAUGUAAUUCUUUUCAACAACCUUUCCUUUCUGUGAAUCCAUCCAUACAAGGUUCUCUUAUCCUUAGCAGUUAACUGAAUAUUGAUGACUUGCUGCAAACCCCCCCAAAAAGAGCACAGACCAAUCAGGAUUCACCUCACCCAUCAUUUGUGCAGAUGUGAGACAUAUGUGCUGUGUUUAACCUGAAGUGCUAAAGACCCAAGAUACGGAGUAUCUCCCACUGCUUCUGAUUUCUGAACACAACUAUUUAGAAGACUGGGUGCAUUUCAAGUCUUGUCACCUGGA